CCUUCCCGCCCCACAAUUGCACACGCAGGACAGUGGACCAGGGCUUGCGUGUCAGCAGGAUGGCGGGUGCACGGACACGGAUCCUGAGCCAUCCACUUCCCCAGGCUCUGCGACCUGGCUCUCAGGCGAUGGAGACAAGGCGGUCCGUGCAGAUGAGCUGAGCAAGGUCAUGUGGUGUGCGAUCAAGAUAGGAUCCCAAACGUCUUCCGAAUGGUUUAGGGUCCCGAGAAAUGAAGGUCCAAUGACGUGAUGGGCAUUUGGAAGCACACGGUUAAAUGCAUCUCCCUGAAGACAGGUUUAUGUGUCGGUGCUGGCCGGUGUGACCCCGACGGUCAUCUUAUUGCGAAAGGAGACCGGGGCCGUUAAGGUGGAGGAGUAGCACUACUGUAGGAGAUCUGUAAGCCGGGGUGAGAUGUGUUAGCUACCCGAGUGGCGUCUCUGACUUCAAAUAGCAGUGUCAUGCAGGAUUUAAACUGUGUCUAAUGGAGCCUGGAGUGACUCUACGUUUAAUUCUCUUCGAGGAGGGGUAACCAGCACGUGAAUCCGUACACCUUAGCCGACUGCUGCAGCUUGGUUUACAAAAUAGAUGGGAUGGGAGAUCGGGAGCGCCUCAGAGGACAAGGAGAGUUGUAGGGUGAUGUGACUGGAGACAGCCUCAGAGCAUUGCCUGCCAAGCCUGCUAUGUUGUUUAAGCUUCGGGACUUUUCAUAUCCUUUCAUGAAAAAAUGCACAGACAUCAGUUGAAUCCAACCAGAAAACAGACACAGACAAACAGUACCAUGCAGGAUAAUCAAAAGUGCUAUUUCGAGUUCAAGGAAGAAUUUUUUUUUAACAAAGAAUUCGAUAUUGAGACCAUUUGUAACUUAAAAAAAAAAUAAAGCUCACUAGAGCUGUCGUUCCCAAAAAGAUUAAAUGAGCUAUCGCAAAUUAUAGUUGUAAUACUUCAAAAUGUAUUCUUUCCCAAAUUAUACUUUGCAUUGAUGUGAUUUUGGCAUAUGGAAUACUAGAAAUCUUUAAAGAAUUAGGCAAAGCAAGUUAAGUAAGAUAUAAAUUUGGCUAAUAUUUUUACAUUUCAGAAUAUGCUUCUGAAAAACAAAUGGGCUGUUUUUUCUUUUCAUUUUUUAUUAUUUACUAAGCUAGUCAGCUAACGUAAUAUAUUUGGCUAAUAUAUUUACAUUAUGGUUCUGAAAAACAAAUGGGCUGUUUUUUCUUUUCAUUUUUUAUUAUUUACUAAGCUAGCAAGCAUGAUUAACUCCAAGAAGACAGCGUUUUGUUUUGUUUUUUUCUUAGCAUAUUUAGUCUUCCAGCUUUAUACGGCUAAAUGGAUGAUUCUUAAAUAAUGGCAUUGGAUGCCAUUAUCUAGGUGAUGCGGGAUGAAUGCCUAAUUUUAGUUCCUUGGAUUAAAAAAAGAAAGGAAAGGAAUAUAAAAGAAAACAAAUGAAAUAGAAGUUGCCUUAUACUUUCAGCAUGUAACGGUCUGAACUUGGUUACAGGAGGUUUGCAGUUGGCUCCGCUGCCGGGAACCGAGAGCCAUUUGAUCUCGAUUCACUUUGUCGUUGUAUUAUGUCGCAUCCUAGUCGUGGAUGCGUGACAGUCGUGGAACAGAACAGGAGAUCUGCCCCCUAAGCUUUCACCCAGCGGUUUUCCUCCAGGCCCCUCUGGAAGGGUCGUGCACCUGCUACUUACUAGAAAAGGUCAGAGGCGGGAGGACGGGGCGAGCAGCACGCAGUACAGCCCGACGUGACCGGUCGUACGAGCAGGACAACUAUGGACAAGCAGUCAGGAGGUCAACGUUCCGACCGGCCCACUGGAAAAUGUGCCGCAGAGCAAGGAAUCCUGUAGCAGGUUUUCUGGGUCCGUGAGCAGUGACGGGGUGUGCGACUCUGCAAGGCCCACGAUUCUGGGCCUCUCGGCUUCCCAACCUUCAGUUCUUCCCAUAGACAAAUGGAAGCCAAACAUAUAAAGGAAAAAAGGAAGAGUGAAAUGCCUUUCAUAUGGAGCGACCAAGCUACUACCGGAGAGGCGGUUAUGACACGCGCUUUAAUGCCAAUAAUGAGAGAAGAGGCGACGAGGAAUGCAAGGGAGCGCGUGCAGCCUUUCCUAGGAAGCGACCACAGAGCAUUUGCAUCACUCAGUAUAUUCGCAGCACUUAAUCUCUAAGUCACCUGUUAGGAUCUGAUGAAACGCACGCCUACCUUUCCUGAUCCCUCCGUCAGAAGCACACGUGUAAUCACCUGUCGUCAGUAGAAAACAUGUUUCCCCUCUUCCGUUUUUGUCUCUGGUACUAGAGCGUCUGAUGGGGAGCCUUUCUGGGGGUGAUAAUGGCGGCUCACUUCCUGUACUGUCGUCACCUGAUAACACUGGUCACAGCACCAUGCCCAUUGACAGACAGUGAUGGAUGAGGAAAUGAGACAGUACAGAGAGUUUACACUGAAGGUCCAGAGUACGCGCACUCCAGAUACAAGAACACAGUCAUCACAUCACGAUAAGAGAAAGGGUUUUCAUCACUCGUUACAAAAAUUUACACGGAGCAAAAUGGAAAACGUAUUGAAAAGGAGAGAAAUGUUCUUUGGGGAAUGUGAAUUCCAUGUUUAGAUUCCACUAGAAAAUGAACUUCCGCAGAAUUAUUCACAUGGGGGUGUGAUAUGAAGUAACAGACACAUUGAUAUCUUACGGUUUUUUUGAUGUGCCAUCUAGUUAUUGUGAAUUAGAAUCUUUAAAAGUGGAGCAUAGGGCAGCUCAGGUGGCUCAGCGGUUUAGCACCGCCUUCAGCCUAGGGCGUGAUCCUGGAGACCCGGGAUCGAGUCCCGCGUCAGGCUCCCUGCGUGGGGCCUGCUUCUCCCUUUG